GCGGACGGCGGGACCCCCAAGUUGGGCGCCGGCGACUGGCGGGGGCAGAGGGCCGGGCGCUCCCUCGGGCUCGCGCAGGUGCUCGGGCCUGGCCGGGCUGGGACCGCAGGCGCCUCUCCCGCGCUCGCCUAGCCCGGGCUGCCCCCGCACGCCCACGCCCCAGGUGUCCGGGCGCGCUUUACCCAGGGGCGCCGUGCCCAGGCCAGGAGGCCAGGGCGGAGCGGGUGAGGGAGAAGCCCAUUUAGAUUCAGAGGGAAGCCGGUCCUGGGAGACGGCCGCGAGGAACAAAGGCGCCCCAGUGCUGCCCACUUAGCAUGCCAGAGCCGCGCUGCUCGGCUCCCAGGCCGGGGACACGGCCCGGUGUUAAGCGGAGGGUGCCCGACCGCGGGAAUUCCUAAGGCCACGCGCACCUCCAAGGCCACCGCCGCACACAGCUUCGGAGUGCACAGUGCACACGCCCAGGCACAGGCAGCCGGCCCGAGAAAUUGUGAAUGUCUUGGCUUUGAGUUUAUCUGCGUAUCCUGGCGAAGUUUGGAUGCAGAGAACUUGGAGCUGUUGUUUUCUACCAGACACUAGGAUCCCUGAGAGAGGUGUCAUUCUUUCGCGCUGCACACACCUUCCUCCACGUGGUGAAGAUACAUCGCUCCUGACAGCCUCAUGCCUGACUGGACACUGAAAAAGAGGUGAAGAGAUGAGGCGAUAGAACAAAAGAACAGAAAGAUAAUGAAGCUGAGACUAACAUAAUUAUGUAUGCAGCCACAAAUGGAGCACAAAGCAAUUACUGCUUGUGGGAAUUUGAGAGAUGCUCUUUGAAGAGGUGUGAGGGAAUCAGUAAUACUUGCAGUGACUUUUAAGGAGGUGGAGUGUGCUGAUGAAGAUGCCACAAAGAACUGAUGGGAAGUUAUUCCUCUCCCCAACUGCUAUUGUAUCCUUCCUGUAGUGCUGUCUCUGCUUUUUGCAUCUUGCCCAGUAUAUUAUGACACAAAUAAAAAUUCUCU
rnacentral:lncRNA from 1 species